UUUGUAAUUAGUAAGUUAUACAUCAGCCUCUCUAGCAUGCUAUUGCUUAAAUUUUCAUGUUUUAAAUCAAACAAGGUGUGGUUGCAUUAAAGCUCAUUAUUUCUUUCUCGAAUCCACAUACUGUCCAAUGGGGUUUGAAUCUUAAUUAGCCAUCUCAAUACUGACUUGAACAAAUAAGCUCCAACAUUUUUUUUGGCCCUAAGAGCAUGAUAAUCUCCACUCUUACAUUUGUUUUUAAGUUGCUGAAAUAUUGUUAAGAAAAAUUUCAGGUGUGUGCUUUUGUUCUUACUUGGACUAUGUGACAAUUGGAAGAUGUUUCGGCUAGAAAAGCAAAGAAUAAUUGGCCUUCUGUGAUGUUUGCAAUGGCAGGAGGGGUGGUACUUAGCCUUGGAAAUCUCUCAACUCAGUAUGCUUGAGCUUUUGUUGGCUUAUCAGUCACAGAAGUGAUCACUGCAAGCAUAAUAGUUGUUAUAAGUCCUUUCUUUCAUUCUCUCUCUCUCUCUGACCAUUUCUAAAUGUUGAUGUUUGUUUGUGUUGCUCUUAUAGAUACUGAAUUUUUUGCUUCUGUUGCGAU